rnacentral:ncRNA from 1 species
AUUCUGACUAGGCCCUAAUUUGGGAUGUUACAAAGAAAUUCAAGCAAGCGCGGGUAAGCGACGAGAGUAACUGUGACUCUCUUAAGGUAGCCAAAUGCCUCAUCAUCUAAUUAGUGACACAUACGAAUGGGU